rnacentral:rRNA from 1 species
AAACGCGUGAAUAACCUGACCCGAAGAGGGGGAUAACACCUGGAAACAAGUGCUAAUACCGCAUAAGACCACGGACCGGCAUCGGUCAGAGGUCAAAGGAGAAAUCCGCUUUGGGAGGGGUUCGCGUCCCAUUAGGUAGUUGGUGAGGUAACGGCCCACCAAGCCGACGAUGGGUAGCCGAGCUGAGAGGCUGAUCGGCCACACUGGAACUGAGACACGGUCCAGACUCCUACGGGAGGCAGCAGUGGGGAAUAUUGGGCAAUGGGCGCAAGCCUGACCCAGCAACGCCGCGUGAGGGAAGAAGGUUUUCGGAUUGUAAACCUCUGUCGCAGGGGACGAAGGAAGUGACGGUACCCUGUAAGAAAGCCCCGGCUAACUACGUGCCAGCAGCCGCGGUAAUACGUAGGGGGCGAGCGUUGUCCGGAAUUACUGGGCGUAAAGGGAGCGUAGGCGGUCGAUUAAGUUAGAUGUGAAACCCCCGGGCUUAACUUGGGGACUGCAUCUAAUACUGGUUGACUUAGAGUACAGGAGAGGGAAGCGGAAUUCCUAGUGUAGCGGUGAAAUGCGUAGAUAUUAGGAGGAACACCAGUGGCGAAGGCGGCUUUCUGGACUGACACUGACGCUGAGGCUCGAAAGCGUGGGGAGCAAACAGGAUUAGAUACCCUGGUAGUCCACGCUGUAAACGAUGAAUACUAGGUGU